GACAGAGGUUGCAAACGUUGUUCGGAAUCACUGGGCAUAAAGCGCACGUAGGCGGUCUGGUAAGUCAGGUGUGAAAGCCCCCGGCUCAACCGGGGAACAGCAUCUGAUACUGGCAGACUCGAGGAUGGUAGGGGUGCGUGGAACUCCAGGUGGAGCGGUGAAAUGCGUAGAUAUCUGGAGGAACACCGGUGGCGAAAGCGGCUCACUGGACCAUAACUGACGCUGAGGUGCGAAAGCUAGGGUAGCAAACGGG
rnacentral:rRNA from 1 species